rnacentral:rRNA from 1 species
GACGAACGCUGGCGGCGUGCCUAAUACAUGCAAGUUGAACGCUUCUUUCUUAUCGAACUUCGGUUCACCAAGAAAGAAGAGUAGCGAACGGGUGAGUAACACGUGGGUAACCUGCCCAUCAGUGGGGGAUAACACUUGGAAACAGGUGCUAAUACCGCAUAAUACUUUUUCUCUCAUGAGUGAAAGUUGAAAGGCGCUUUUGCGUCACUGAUGGAUGGACCCGCGGUGCAUUAGCUAAUUGGUAGGGUAACGGCCUACCAAGGCAACGAUGCAUAGCGGACCUGAGAGGGUGAGCGGCCUCACUGGGACUGAGACACGGCCCAGACUCCUACGGGAGGCAGCAGUAGGGAAUCUUCGGCAAUGGACGAAAGUCUGACCGAGCAACGCCGCGUGAGUGAAGAAGGUUUUCGGAUCGUAAAACUCUGUUGUUAGAGAAGAACAAGGAUGAGAAGAGAAUGUUCAUCCCUUGACGGUAUCUAACCAGAAAGCCACGGCUAACUACGUGCCAGCCGCCGCCGUAA